rnacentral:rRNA from 1 species
AUUGAACGCUGGCGGCAGGCCUAACACAUGCAAGUCGAACGGUAACAGGAAACAGCUUGCUGUUUCGCUGACGAGCGGCGGACGGGUGAGUAAUGUCUGGGAAACUGCCUGGUGGAGGGGGAUAACUACUGGAAACGGUAGCUAAUACCGCAUAAUGUCGCAAGACCAAAGAGAGGGACCUUCGGGCCUCUUGCCAUCGGAUGUGCCCAGAUGGGAUUAGCUUGUUGGUGGGGUAACGGCUCACCAAGGCGACGAUCCCUAGCUGGUCUGAGAGGAUGACCAGCCACACUGGAACUGAGACACGGUCCAGACUCCUACGGGAGGCAGCAGUGGGGAAUAUUGCACAAUGGGCGCAAGCCUGAUGCAGCCAUGCCGCGUGUAUGAAGAAGGCCUUCGGGUUGUAAAGUACUUUCAGCGGGGAGGAAGGGAGUAAAGUUAAUACCUUUGCUCAUUGACGUUACCCGCAGAAGAAGCACCGGCUAACUCCGUGCCAGCAGCCGCCGCCG